rnacentral:piRNA from 1 species
UGGCAGAGUGUCUCGAUGGGUUGGGAUCC